rnacentral:lncRNA from 1 species
AUCCCAACAGAAAAAGUGGCGUCUGGAGUGGCACCUGUACAGAUUUCAAAAAUUUCAUCAUCAGUUCGAUAAUUUUUUGCCUAAAAGACCACGUGCAAAUAUUUGGAUUAAAAAGGCUCUUCACAUCUCCAGCCAUUCAGAAUGCCAAAGUAAAUACUCCCAUAGCUCGACCAAAGCUCAGAUUAAGGAGUAAGGGGAUAUCUGUUAGGAGUAAUUUAGAAAGGACCGGUGAUGUAUGGAGACUUAAGCUCAUUACGACCCCUCAGAUUCAUAUCAGCACCUCCCCGAUGGCUGAAUUGUUGAGGUUUGCCCGAUCUUUAGUCGGGCAAAUGUCUAUCCCGACCCUUGGUCGGAGGCUAUUCUCUUCGACUCCUCGUCGGUAUGUUCUUCAUCCGACUUCUAAUCUAAAAAUACUGGUUAAUCUCCUAUCACAUCCAAUCCUCAUUGGACUUGCACAUCGAGAUAAUCUCUGGUUAGCAUAACAACUACAGAUCGGCUAGACUUUCGGAUCAACCCAUCUAAUCGAGCCUUGAUCGAAAAACUAUCAGUUUCAACUCCUAGUAGGCACACCAUACUUUUCAAUCUUUUCUUGAAAGCAGACCG